GAUUGUGUUGGACCUGAAGGGAAGUGUGUGGGUAGCAUGGCCCAGUACAUACCACGCCUCCCACAGGCCCAGCUUAUUGCCCAGGCCAUUGG
rnacentral:miRNA from 1 species